rnacentral:rRNA from 1 species
CGUUUAGGGGUAAACCUGAGAAACCCGAAAGGUCGAAGGAAGAAAUUCAAUCGUGCCCGAUAAGGUUAUUGUGCGGUAAUGGUGUCGAAAGAUGGAUUCGUUCAUUUUUUGCCCUGCCGUAUGAUAUAUGUACCUUGUUGGACGCGUGCACUUUUCUUCUGGUAGGACGUUGCGAUCCGUUGAGUGUUGAUCUACGAUUCGGAUGGUAGCCCUUAUCUGAUAGACCCCCUGGGUGUCUAUCAGAUAAGGACCUCUGACAUCUGGUCAACUGGCUCGACGGUAUAUUUAAUGGUUUUCGGCCGCUCAUUAAUGGAGCGUUCGGCUUGUGGCAAGCACGUCAAAUGUUUCGGUACAUCGGACCUAGUGCCGUGUCUGAUCCUUGACGUCUGUUGGCCGCUUUGUCUCGAACAGACCGAUACACAAAACCGAUCUGCGACGAUAUAGCUUUGGGUACUUUCAGGACCCGUCUUGAAACACGGACCAAGGAGUCUAGCAUGUACGCAAGUCAUUGGGAACUACAAAACCUAAAGGCGCAAUGAAAGUGAACGUUUAUCUUUACGGUGAACGAUGGGAAGAUGGGCGUUGAUCCUAAUACGGUUUGCGUUCAGCAUUCCCGGGGCGUCUCAUUCUCAUUGCGAGAAGAGGCGCACCAUGAGCGUACACGCUGGGACCCGAAAGAUGGUGAACUAU